GACAGAGGGGGCAAGCGUUGCUCGGAAUCACUGGGCGUAAAGGGCGCGUAGGCGGGAUGGCAAGUCGGUCGUGAAAUCCUUCGGCUCAACCGAAGAACGUCGGCCGAUACUGCCGUUCUUGAGGGAUGCAGAGGAGAUUGGAAUUCCCGGUGUAGCGGUGAAAUGUGUAGAGAUCGGGAGGAACACCGGUGGCGAAGGCGGGUCUCUGGGCCAUAACUGACGCUGAGAAGCGAAAGCAUGGGGAGCGAACAGG
rnacentral:rRNA from 1 species